rnacentral:rRNA from 1 species
ACGGAAGGCAGCAGUGGGGAAUAUUGGGCAAUGGGCGCAACCCUGACCCAGCAACGCCGCGUGAAGGAAGAAGGUCUUCGGAUUGUAAACUUCCUUUAUGAGGGACGAAGGACGUGACGGUACCUCAUGAAUAAGCCACGGCUAACUACGUGCCAGCAGCCGCGGUAAUACGUAGGUGGCGAGCGUUAUCCGGAUUUACUGGGUGUAAAGGGCGUGUAGGCGGGGUUGCAAGUCAGAUGUGAAAUCUAUGGGCUUAACCCAUAAACUGCAUUUGAAACUGUAGCUCUUGAGUGCUGGAGAGGUAGAUGGAAUUCCUUGUGUAGCGGUGAAAUGCGUAGAUAUAAGGAAGAACACCAGUGGCGAAGGCGAUCUGCUGGACAGUAACUGACGCUGAGGCACGAAAGCAUGGGGAGCAAACAGGAUUAGAUACCCUGGUA